AUUGAACGCUGGCGGCAUGCCUUACACAUGCAAGUCGAACGGCAGCGGGGACUUCGGUCCGCCGGCGAGUGGCGAACGGGUGAGUAAUGUAUCGGAACGUACCAUUCAGUGGGGGAUAACUAUCCGAAAGGGUAGCUAAUACCGCAUAUUCUGUGAGCAGGAAAGCAGGGGAUCGCAAGACCUUGCGCUGAUUGAGCGGCCGAUAUCAGAUUAGCUAGUUGGUGAGGUAACGGCUCACCAAGGCUACGAUCUGUAGCGGGUCUGAGAGGAUGAUCCGCCACACUGGGACUGAGACACGGCCCAGACUCCUACAGGAGGCAGCAGUGGGGAAUUUUGGACAAUGGGCGCAAGCCUGAUCCAGCCAUGCCGCGUGAGUGAAGAAGGCCUUCGGGUUGUAAAGCUCUUUCGGCCGGGAAGAAAUCGCAUCAGCUAAUACCUGGUGUGGAUGACGGUACCGGAAUAAGAAGCACCGGCUAACUACGUGCCAGCCGCCGCGGUAACAC
rnacentral:rRNA from 1 species